rnacentral:rRNA from 1 species
UACGUAGGCAGCGAGCGUUGUUCGGAGUUACUGGGCGUAAAGGGUGUGUAGGCGGUUGUUUAAGUUUGGUGUGAAAUCUCCCCGGCUCAACUGGGAGGGUGCGCCGAAUACUGAAUGACUAGAGUGCGGGAGAGGAAAGUGGAAUUCCUGGUGUAGCGGUGAAAUGCGUAGAUAUCAGGAGGAACACCGGUGGUGUAGACGGCUUUCUGGACCGUAACUGACGCUGAGACACGAAAGCGUGGGUAGCAAACAGG